rnacentral:rRNA from 1 species
UACGUAGGGGGCAAGCGUUGUCCGGAAUCAUUGGGCGUAAAGAGCGCGUAGGCGGUCCGGUAAGUCCGCUGUGAAAGUCAAGGGCUCAACCCUUGAAUGCCGGUGGAUACUGUCGGGCUAGAGUCCGGAAGAGGCGAGUGGAAUUCCUGGUGGUAGCGGGUGAAAUGCGCAGAUAUCAGGAGGAACACCGGUGGCGAAGGCGGGAUCCUGGGCCAGUACUGACGCUGAGGAGCGAAAGCGUGGGGAGCAAACAGG